AGCUGACCGGCCCUACGGCCUUUUUUACAACUCAUAACAUACAAAGAGUAACAACAGUUACAACAUGACGCCCAGUGACCGGCAAUUGCUACCGACAGCGCGCUCUUCGCUACACCCAACUAUCAACGUCAUCAAUUAUCCUCCACAACCUCACCCGCUUUCCAUUACAGAACCCCAUUGUAGAGGAAACAGUUGCAGCAAAGGGAGCCAGCGAGAGUUUUGUGCUGCUGAGCGUGAGUUUCCGCGGUAGGAGUGGACGAGAGUGUGGGCUUUUGUGCUAUUGAGCUGUCAAAUCACCGCCAUUGUGCACACAUUGACAGGCCGUUCGAAAACCUAAAUUGGAUUAUGAUCACCAAUUUCAGGAAUAAUACGUAGGCAUAUAUAUGUCACCGCCUCGCUCCAUUUCUGACUUCGCAGCAUAUAUAUGGGGAUGGAUACAUGUGGAUAUGAGCAAAUGAGCCAAUGCUGGCACAAUCUAUGCGAACAGCAGGACAUAAUUAGAGUGCGUCCUGCCGAGUGCCUGAAGCAGUCGAUGGAUACAUUUGGAAAUGGAUUCCAGACAAAGGAAGGAGGCAUUGUCUAGAUAAUACUAGCAGAGACGACAAAAUUAAAUUUUAUUCCAUUUCUUUGACAAAUGUGUACGUAAUGGUCAAUGUUCUCAGCUCUGGCAGCCGUCAUGGAAUGUAAAACUCAUGUCGUAUUUCUAGGAAGACAUUGUAAAUCGAAAAUGUCCAAAAAUCAUUGUUAAAAUAGCUAAAUGAUUUUAGAGUCAAGAGCAGAUUAAUGAAAUGUUUUGCAGAUACCGACAGACUUUAAUAACGAUCCACAGGGUUUGACGCAGGAGCUGUCUAAGAAAUGAAUAUUGCUUCAAAGGAGACUAAUGAAACUCCUGAAGACUACUUAUUAACGUUCUCAGACUUUUUCCGAAAUCAAUGUCAUAAAUCAAAUGACUACAGUGGAGACACACAUAGAAUCAGCAGUAGCGCUGAUGGGACAAAUUGUUGUUGGAAAAAGUUGUGCACUUAUCCUUUUCUACUUUGAAGUUUAAAAAUUUAUGCAUUUCCAGUCUCUUAUAAACUACAGACUUUGUAGAAGAAAUAACUCAACCGAAUUCCAGUGGCUCACAUUUAAUUGCUUACAUGAAAAAAUUUAAGAUGUUUCAUUCUAAUCCUAGCCCACUUUGACUCGCUUUUACAACCAACAACAGCGGCCUUGAGAAGUACCAAAUAUUGCUAAGGAUAUUCAAGUGUCAAACGACGAAUGAACAAACGUGUCAAUGGGCACGACAAACAAUUGGAAAAAGUAGACAACAAUUAAAGAAAAAAGAAAGUAAAAUGAAAACAAAAUGUAAAUUAGAAGACUAUGCUGCAGUGAUAAUGCCAACAACAAAUGAAAUACGAGAUUUUCAAAGACACAAAAAAUAGACAUAAGCAAGAAAUGCUGACCAACAGACCGCAGUAGCAAAUAAAAACCAAAUGAAAACACAUUAUCCCUUGUCUUAAGCAGUCUGAAGUAAUUUCUAGAAGUCGCUGCCGCCCCACAACUCGACCCCGUCAGCGUCCAAGCAUCGCUAUUUUUGAAUAAUGAACUGCCUUACCUCUGGUUGGAGUGUAAUGCACCCGUUUGUCUACCUGAAAUCAAAUCUCGGUUUAACUACAUAUAUAACUAUGUAUUCUCGACGGCUAGCCGCAGCUUAUCAGACAUACUUUUGUUAUUAACUGUUUUAAUAAGAAUGCUUCGAGAUUGAAGAAAGCAAAAAUAAAGCAAAUCUUACGCUGCCCACUCA